GCCACUGGGAAAGGAUCUCUUUCUGGAGGUUGCUCCUCUUUAUGUUUUUUUCUGUGAGCCUAGGACACAGCCCUACAGAGAAAAAGAGGAAUGAAGCGUCAUCACCUAUUUUCUUCCUCCUGCCACCCUGCAAAAUGAGAAGUUGCACACUUCUGAAGGAUUACUGCCAGAGGCUACUGCCUCCUCUGGUCUCCCAGUUCAGGUGCCUCCCAGGUUAUCUUUGAUCUUGCUGAUAAAACUGUCCUAACAUUAGAGCUGAAAUCUCACCUUGCACGUAAAGGACCUCGUGCACACGCAGUGUCUUUUCUGGCUUAUCAAAGACAGUUUUAAAAAGAGAAAUGUUAAGGAAACUUUACUGAAUGAGAUCUCCAGUGUCAGAACCCCCAGAUACUAUGUGAGAUGACAGGCAAAAAGGUGGAGACAGGGCAGACGCCUGUAUUCUCCUGUGCUGCCUGACAGGUGUCUGUCUGUCCCAGAUUCGUGCUCCAGAGCUGGCCUAACUAUUCUGCUCUGUGUUCUCAGUAUCCUGUCAGUGUGGGGGCCUCAGUGCUCUGACUCCAGUGCUACUAAAAUCAGAUGACAUCUUCCUGAGCCACAGUAAUAUGGUGAAGCCAGGGGAUAAAUGGAGUCAGUUCAUGGGUGGUGAACCAUCUGGCAAGCAGUGAACCUGGGAAAGGCAGAGCAUAUGCUCUAGGCAAAAUCAAAUGUCUUUUCAGAUAUAAUAGCUUCUCUGUAGAUAUCUUGUCUGAAAAAGAACAACUUUGUUUUUUGGUUUUGUUCAUGAUUUAGGAAAUUCUCCUUAUUUUUUCACUGGUGUAUGUACCUUUGUAAAGUUCUGUACAUGUAUGAAGAUAGAAAAGUAGUUAUGACUUCAUUUUUUGUGGCAACUCUAUGAUAUACCAUCAGUAAUGAUGAAUUAUGUUUCAGAUAUCAACAACGUUCAAACCAAUUUAGGACUUUGUAUCUCUUUUCAUUAAUACAGUGGGUGUUUCAGAUGCCAUAACCAAAAUAUCUAAAAUAUUUCUGAGAGCUUUUUUAUGAAGUUCACGGCACAUAACUUUGCUCCUUAGGUAUAAUUGUACAAUAUAAUAUGGUAUAAUGCAGCCACUAUAAAGAUAAUAAUUGGACAGGUGGAAUUUUCCUAAUAACGUGAUCUGAGUCUGUGAAAUCGGGUCAAGUAAAUCAUAGGUAUUUCCAACAUCAAUUAAAAAUGUGUUUAAUCUUGAUUUUUCUGUAAUAUAAGCCAGUCAAAUGUGCUCUUACAGACCUAUUUCUUUAACAUAAUUGUCCUUGACAAACAGUCAACCAGGGAUGAUAAGGAAUUUCCCUGUCUCAGAUCCCAGGCUUCAUUGUUCCUCUUCUUCCUGGCUUUCAUGCCAUAUGUUACUUUGUAUCAAAUGGUGUAAUGAUUACAUAAUACAUUUUGGAAAAACAGCUCUGUUGCAUCUAUUCUUUAUUCUCUCAUCUCCCUUUCUCUCUUUGUCAUUACUGAAAAAUAAACUCUAUGGGCAAUCCUCUUUUUGCAG
ensembl:lncRNA